CGAGUGCUUGCCUCCCUUGCCCAGCUGGAAUGGCCUGCAGCCAUGCAGCCACUGCAGAACCACUCAGCUGCCCCAGAGGUUACUAUUGUCCAGCUAGGACUGCUGCUCCCCUGCCGUGCCCCGAGGGGACGCUGAAUACCAUGGAGGGGGCAUUGGCCCCCACUGCUUGCAAGCUAUGUCCAGUGGGGAUGUACUGUAGAGGAGAUGCUAAUUGGGAACCUGAUGGUCUGUGUUCAGCUGGGUACUACUGUGAAGGAGGAGCCACUGAUGCAGUUCCACGUGGGACGCCGGCGUUCCCACUCAGUGGGCCCUGCCCACUUGGACAUUAUUGUCCAGAGGGCACUCCUUUUCCAGUUGCCUGCCCAGUUGGGACCCUGAA
rnacentral:lncRNA from 1 species